GAUAACGCUGGCGGCGUGCCUUAUGCAUGCAAGUCGAACGAGAUCAAGGCUUCGGCCUGAAGUCUAGUGGCGGACGGGUGAGUAACACGUACGUGACCUGUCCGGAAGUGGGGAAUAACCAGCCGAAAGGUUGGCUAAUACCGCAUACGGUUACUGCUUGGAAGCAGCAAACCAAAGUCGCGAGACGCUUCCGGAGGGGCGUGCGGCCGAUUAGCUUGUUGGUGUGGUAACGGCGCACCAAGGCUUUGAUCGGUAGCUGGUCUGAGAGGACGGUCAGCCACACUGGGACUGAGACACGGCCCAGACUCCUACGGGAGGCAGCAGUGGGGAAUAUUGGACAAUGGGGAAACCCUGAUCCAGCAAUGCCGCGUGGGUGAUG
rnacentral:rRNA from 1 species